UGGAGGCCUUUGCUCCUGCUUGAAUACCCCCACAAGGAGGCAAAAUUGAUUUUGCCUAAGGAUCUGGCGUUGGGCACAAAUGCACAAACGAAAUACAAACCAGGGAACAGAAAGUAGCAGGAACCUGCGGAAGCUACUGUCAUUCUGCAUUUAGAAACUUUGGUCAACGUUUCAACAGCAGAACAAGAUUCGACAGCCGCAGCGUGUCUGGACCAGGGGGCCGGGACAAUGGAUGGUCCAGAAUUGAAUCUUUACUCCCCUCCUACAGG